UUUCGAGCGGCGGCCUCGCCACCCAGUGCGGCGCCACCAGCGUCCUCCCCGGCACUACCCAUCACCGCCUCUCUCUCUCUCUCUCUCGUGUCGCGUCGAUAACCUUCCAUCCUGGAACCCCCUUCUUGCCGCGCGGUGACGGCAUCCGAUGAUUCCUAUGAGUCUUCUCUUCCUCUUCCUUCCUAUACUAUUGAGCAUCUAUAAGAGCUUUGAGGCUUUCGCUCUUUGUUACUAGAGGAAACAAAAAACUGCUAAAGGGCAUGAAGAAUGUAGAGUUAAGGUGCAGCUUACCUUGAUAUAUUCAGUGCUUGUGUGAAUUGAGGGUAGUGAUGAACCAAGGAAGUUUGUAGUUCUCCAUCUAUCCACACCUGCAGAUUGUGCUGAAGAGUGUACCAGCCUUGAUCACCCAUCCCAAGGCAUUGUAGCCUGAGCUCUGGGCAGUUACUGAUGCUCAAAAAUUGAAGUUUGCUUGGAAAACCAUCAUUUGGCAAGCACAAGAGGCCAGGACAGUCUGAGAUCUCGAGACGUGCAAGUGAGGCCAUGUUUCUGAGGCCAACUGGUAAAUACAUGAGAUGCCUGCAGUUUUCGAUCUCCAAGUCCUCUAACUUUAUUAGUUUUGGCAGUCCUUUGGGAAGAGUAUGGAGCUCAGGGCAGUGCUUGAUGGCCAAGUACAACAGGCCGGUCGGGAGCCAAUCAUCCGGUAAUGAUAACAAUUGAUUGCAGUGACUAAUUUCCAAUCGACGGAUCAAAGCAUGGGAACCUUGUAUAUUGAAAGGAAAGGUUCUCCGUUGCAGUCCACUGAGAGUCAGGGAGGGAAGCAAGGAAACAACAGACCAGGAACUCCAAAUCCAGUCAUCAGUAGUCUUCACUUCUAGUGAUUUGAGUACUGGGAAGUCAGAUAGGCCAGCAAAACUUCGGGAUGCUUCUAUCACCAACUUCGUCAAAGCAGGAAAUUUGUGCUUUAAUUGGUCAAGAGCAAAGCAGUCCUUGAUAACAAGCUCACGAAGAGAAGGCAAAACACAGUCAUCAGCACCACACCAUUCUUCCAGUCCUGACAUUGUUUCUAGAUGUAGCUUCUCCAAUGAUGGAAACCUUUGCUUGUUACUGCCACAAAAUGAGCAGUCAAGGUGCUGCACCCGAUGCAUUUCUUUUAUGUAUAGAUAUUUAAGCUUCGGUAAUUGGCCAAGUGGUGGGAGGUUAAAACAAUUAUCACAGUUGCAGAUCCAUAAGGUCACUAGAUUGGAGAAGGAAGGAUCUCCUACCCAAGUUGGAAAUGAUGUUCCUCCAUACCCAACUAUUCCAAGCUCUUUCAGCUUCUGCUGCCUUGAAAACAAGAUCAAGUCUUGCAAUGAGAAGUUCACCAUGGAGAUUGUUCAAGUCCCUCAACUGAGAUAAACCACAGUGAAGCCUUGUGCUCACAAUAUAUCUUGAAAGUGUUUGAAGAUCAGUU